GACGAACGCUGGCGGCGUGCUUAACACAUGCCAGUCGAACGGAAAGGCCCUGCUUGCAGGGUACUCGAGUGGCGAACGGGUGAGUAACACGUGGGUGAUCUGCCCUGCACUUCGGGAUAAGCCUGGGAAACUGGGUCUAAUACCGGAUAGGAGCCAUUUUUAGUGUGAUGGUUGGAAAGUUUUUUCGGUGUAGGAUGAGCUCGCGGCCUAUCAGCUUGUUGGUGGGGUAAUGGCCUACCAAGGCGGCGACGGGUAGCCGGCCUGAGAGGGUGGACGGCCACAUUGGGACUGAGAUACGGCCCAGACUCCUACGGGAGGCAGCAGUGGGGAAUAUUGCACAAUGGGCGCAAGCCUGAUGCAGCGACGCCGCGUGGGGGAGGACGGCCUUCGGGUUGUAAACUCCUUUCGCUAGGGACGAAGCUUUUUGUGACGGUACCUAGAUAAGAAGCACCGGCUAACUACGUG
rnacentral:rRNA from 1 species